GAUGAACGCUAGCUACAGGCUUAACACAUGCAAGUCGAGGGGUAACGAGAGGGAAGCUUGCUUUCCUUGUCGACGACCGGCGGAUGGGUGAGUAACGCGUAUCCACCCUGCCCUUCAGUAAGGGAUAGCCUUUCGAAAGAAAGAAUAAUACCUUAUGUGAUCGUUUGAUGACAUCAGACGACGCUCAAAGAUUUAUCGCUGAAGGAUGGGGAUGCGUCCCAUUAGGCAGUAGGCGGGAUACCGGCCCACCUAACCUACGAUUGGUAGGGGUUUUGAGAGGAAGGUCCCCCACAUUGGAACUGAGACACGGUCCAAAAUCCUACGGGAGGCAGCAGUGAGGAAUAUUGGUCAAUGGCCGUAAGGCUGAACCAGCCAAGUAGCGUGCAGGAUGACGGCCCUAUGUGUUGUAAACUGCUUUUAAACGGGGAUAAAGUGAGCCACGUGUGGUUUAUUGCAGGUACCGUUUGAAUAAGGACCGGCUAAUUCCGUGCCAGCCGCCGCGGUAA
rnacentral:rRNA from 1 species